CUGUUUUCAGCAGCACAUAUAGUAAAAUCAGAACUAUAUUGAAGAGAUUAGCAUGGCCGUAUGCAAAGAUGUCAUGCAAAUUCCCAGGGUGUUUCAUGUUAGA
rnacentral:snRNA from 1 species